rnacentral:lncRNA from 1 species
GUAAAAAAAGGGACACAAUCAGGCAAUGAACACAUCAAUUCCUUCUCGGUUGAACCCUCGUAAUUUACAUGGUACAAACUGAAACCAGUGCGCGCUCACAUCCGGACACCCUACAGAUCGAACGGUGUGGCACCGACGCCUCACUUGCCGGGCACGAAGUUGGUGGCGUAGGCCCAGGCGUUGUUGUUGACGGGGUCCGCGAGGUGGUCGGCGAGGUUCUCGAGCGGGCCCUUGCCGGUGACGAUGGCCUGGACGAAGAAGCCGAACAUGGAGAACAUGGCGAGGCGGCCGUUCUUGAGCUCCUUGACCUUGAGCUCGGCGAAGGCCUCGGGGUCGUCGGCGAGGCCGAGCGGGUCGAAGCUGCCGCCGGGGUAGAGCGGGUCGACGACCUCGCCGAGCGGGCCGCCGGCAAUGCGGUAGCCCUCGACGGCGCCCAUGAGCACGACCUGGCAGGCCCAGAUGGCGAGGAUGCUCUGCGCGUGGAUCAGGCUCGGGUUGCCGAGGUAGUCAAGGCCACCCUCGCUGAAGAUCUGGGAACCCGCCUUGAACCAGACGGCCUCGCCGAACUUGACGCCGUUGCGGGCGAGCAGCUCGGGGAAGACACAGCCGAGCGCGCCGAGCAUGGCCCAGCGGGAGUGGAUGACCUCCAGCUCGCGGUUCUUGGCGAAGGUCUCGGGGUCGGCCGAGAGCCCGGCGGUGUCCCAGCCGUAGUCGCCGGGGAACUCGCCGGUUAGGUAGCUCGGGGGCUCGCCGGAGAGCGGGCCGAGGUAGAGCACGCGGUCGGGGCCGUACCAUGGGCUGCCGGAGGCGGCCGGCUUGGGCUUCGCCGCGGUCUUGCGCAUGGUCACGCGGGCCUCGCCGAAGAGGGACGAUGGCACGUUGACAGCCUUGCCGACGAAGGCCGUGGAGGAGAGGGCCAUGGUGCUGGUCGCCAUUGCGCUGCUAUCACCGGUGGUGUCCUGCGGUUUUAGAGUGAGGCUCGAGCUUGCAGAUGGCUUGCGAUGUCUGGAGACGACGAAGGUAUUUAAAGCGAUUGAGGGAAGCGCUGGUGCGUGGCAAUCUAUCUUGAAUGUUGCCAAGAGUUACAAAAAAAUCUGUUGCUCGGAUGCCAUUGGUGCGUCGAGGAU